rnacentral:rRNA from 1 species
UACAGAGGUCCCAAGCGUUGUUCGGAUUCACUGGGCGUAAAGGGUGCGUAGGCGGUCGGGUAAGUCUGACGUGAAAUCUUCAAGCUCAACUUGGAAACUGCGUCCGAUACUAUUCGGCUAGAGGAAUGGAGGGGAGACUGGAAUACUUGGUGUAGCAGUGAAAUGCGUAGAUAUCAAGUGGAACACCAGUGGCGAAGGCGAGUCUCUGGACAUUUCCUGACGCUGAGGUGCGAAAGCGUGGGGAGCAAACAGG